rnacentral:rRNA from 1 species
UACGGAGGGGGCUAGCGUUGUUCGGAAUUACUGGGCGUAAAGCGCACGUAGGCGGCUUUGCAAGUUAGAGGUGAAAGCCCGGGGCUCAACCUCGGAACUGCCUUCGAUACUGGUCAUCUUGAGUACGGGAGAGGUGUGUGGAACUCCGAGUGUAGAGGUGAAAUUCGUAGAUAUUCGGAAGAACACCAGUGGCGAAGGCGACACACUGGCCCGUUACUGACGCUGAGGCGCGAAAGCGUGGGGAGCAAACAGG